AGAGUUUGAUCCUGGCUCAGAACGAACGCUGGCGGCAGGCUUAACACAUGCAAGUCGAACGCUCCGCAAGGGGAGUGGCAGACGGGUGAGUAACACGUGGGAACGUGCCCGAAGGUACGGAACAACGCUGGGAAACUGGCGCUAAUACCGUAUGUGUCCGCAAGGAGAAAGAUUUAUCGCCUUCGGAUCGGCCCGCGUCGGAUUAGCUAGUUGGUGGGGUAAAAGCCUACCAAGGCGACGAUCCGUAGCUGUUCUUAGAGGAAGACCAGCCACACUGGGACUGAGACACGGCCCAGACUCCUACGGGAGGCAGCAGUGGGGAAUCUUGGACAAUGGGCGCAAGCCUGAUCCAGCCAUGCCGCGUGGAUGAUGAAGGCCUUAGGGUUGUAAAAUCCUUUCAGCGGGGACGAUAAUGACGGUACCCGCAGAAGAAGCCCCGGCUAACUUCGUGCCAGCCGCCGCGGUAAUUC
rnacentral:rRNA from 1 species